rnacentral:rRNA from 1 species
GACGAACCGUGCGAACGUUAUUCGGAAUCACUGGGCUUAAAGCGCGUGUAGGCGGGACGGCACGUCGGUCGUUGAAAUCCCCCGGCUCAACCGGGGAACGGGCGCCGAUACGACCGUCCUGGAGGGACGUAGGGGGACCUGGAACUUCCGGUGGAGCGGUGAAAUGCGUUGAGAUCGGAAGGAACGCCCGUGGCGAAAGCGAGGUCCUGGACGUUUUCUGACGCUGAGACGCGAAAGCCAGGGGAGCGAAUGGG